rnacentral:rRNA from 1 species
UACGUAGGGUGCGAGCGUUAAUCGGAAUUACUGGGCGUAAAGGGCGCGUAGGCGGCCUUCUAAGUCGGACGUGAAAUCCCUCGGCUCAACCGAGGAACUGCGUCCGAUACUGGUUGGCUUGAAUUCGGGAGAGGGAUGCGGAAUUCCAGGUGUAGCGGUGAAAUGCGUAGAUAUCUGGAGGAACACCGGUGGCGAAGGCGGCAUCCUGGACCGAUAUUGACGCUGAUGCGCGAAAGCCAGGGGAGCAAACGGG